rnacentral:rRNA from 1 species
CCUACGGGCGGCUGCAGUGGGGGAUAUUGCACAAUGGGGGAAACCCUGAUGCAGCGACGCCGCGUGUGGGAAGACGGUCUUCUGGAUUGUAAACCACUGUCCCCAGGGACGAAAAUGACGGUACCUGGGGAGGAAGCUCCGGCUAACUACGUGCCAGCAGCCGCGGUAAUACGUAGGGAGCAAGCGUUGUCCGGAAUUACUGGGUGUAAAGGGAGCGUAGGCGGGGAUGCAGGUUGGGUGUCAAAACUACCGGCUCAACCGAUAGUCGCACUCAAAACUGCAGCUCUUGAGUGAAGUAGAGGCAGGCGGAAUUCCUAGUGUAGCGGGGAAAUGCGUAGAUAUUAGGAGGAACACCAGUGGCGAAGGCGGCCUGCUGGGCUUUUACUGACGCUGAGGCUCGAAAGUGUGGGGAGCAAACAGGAUUAGAUACCCGGGUAGUC